rnacentral:misc_RNA from 1 species
UACGGAGGGUGCAAGCGUUGUCCGGAUUUAUUGGGUUUAAAGGGUACGUAGGCGGAAGCUUAAGUCAGUGGUGAAAGCCUGCGGCUUAACCGUAGGAUUGCCAUUGAUACUGAGUUUCUUGAGUGCGGUAGAGGUGGGCAGAAUUCAUGGUGUAGCGGUGAAAUGCAUAGAUACCAUGAGGAAUACCGAUAGGGAAGCCAGCUCACUGGACCGUAACUGACGCUGAGGUACGAAAGCGUGGGGAGCGAACAGG